GACAGGUGGUGCAUGGUUGUCGUCAGCUCGUGUCGUGAGAUGUUGGGUUAAGUCCCGCAACGAGCGCAACCCUUAAGCUUAGUUGCCAUCAUUAAGUUGGGCACUCUAAGUUGACUGCCGGUGACAAACCGGAGGAAGGUGGGGAUGACGUCAAAUCAUCAUGCCCCUUAUGAUUUGGGCUACACACGUGCUACAAUGGACAAUACAAAGGGCAGCGAAACCGCGAGGUCAAGCAAAUCCCAUAAAGUUGUUCUCAGUUCGGAUUGUAGUCUGCAACUCGACUACAUGAAGCUGGAAUCGCUAGUAAUCGUAGAUCAGCAUGCUACGGUGAAUACGUUCCCGGGUCUUGUACACACCGCCCGUCACACCACGAGAGUUUGUAACACCCGAAGCCG
rnacentral:rRNA from 1 species